rnacentral:rRNA from 1 species
AAAGGCGCUUUCGGGUGUCGCUGAUGGAUGGACCCGCGGUGCAUUAGCUAGUUGGUGAGGUAACGGCUCACCAAGGCCACGAUGCAUAGCCGACCUGAGAGGGUGAUCGGCCACAUUGGGACUGAGACACGGCCCAAACUCCUACGGGAGGCAGCAGUAGGGAAUCUUCGGCAAUGGACGAAAGUCUGACCGAGCAACGCCGCGUGAGUGAAGAAGGUUUUCGGAUCGUAAAACUCUGUUGUUAGAGAAGAACAAGGAUGAGAGUAACUGUUCAUCCCUUGACGGUAUCUAACCAGAAAGCCACGGCUAACUACGUGCCAGCAGCCGCGGUAAUACGUAGGUGGCAAGCGUUGUCCGGAUUUAUUGGGCGUAAAGCGAGCGCAGGCGGUUUCUUAAGUCUGAUGUGAAAGCCCCCGGCUCAACCGGGGAGGGUCAUUGGAAACUGGGAGACUUGAGUGCAGAAGAGGAGAGUGGAAUUCCAUGUGUAGCGGUGAAAUGCGUAGAUAUAUGGAGGAACACCAGUGGCGAAGGCGGCUCUCUGGUCUGUAACUGACGCUGAGGCUCGAAAGCGUGGGGAGCAAACAGGAUUAGAUACCCUGGUAGUCCACGCCGUAAACGAUGAGUGCUAAGUGUUGGAGGGUUUCCGCCCUUCAGUGCUGCAGCUAACGCAUUAAGCACUCCGCCUGGGGAGUACGACCGCAAGGUUGAAACUCAAAGGAAUUGACGGGGGCCCGCACAAGCGGUGGAGCAUGUGGUUUAAUUCGAAGCAACGCGAAGAACCUUACCAGGUCUUGACAUCCUUUGACCACUCUAGAGAUAGAGCUUCCCCUUCGGGGGCAAAGUGACAGGUGGUGCAUGGUUGUCGUCAGCUCGUGUCGUGAGAUGUUGGGUUAAGUCCCGCAACGAGCGCAACCCUUAUUGUUAGUUGCCAUCAUUCAGUUGGGCA